rnacentral:rRNA from 1 species
UACGGGGGGGGCAAGCGUUGUUCGGAAUUACUGGGCGUAAAGGGCUCGUAGGCGGCCAACUAAGUCCGACGUGAAAUCCCCAGGCUUAACCUGGGAACUGCGUCGGAUACUGGAUGGCUUGAAUCCGGGAGAGGGAUGCGGAAUUCCCGGUGUAGCGGUGAAAUGCGCAGAUAUCGGGAAGAACACCCGUGGCGAAGGCGGCUCUCUGGAACGCAACUGACGCUGAGACGCGAAAGCGUGGGGAGCAAACAGG